CACUGGCACUCUGCCCCGCUCUCCACCCCGUUCCGCUACCAUAGAUCGCCUGGAUUCUCUCCCCUCCCCUCCGCCCCCCUUUACUUGCCCCGUCCCUCAGCCACGAUUUGUCCGUGCCCCUUCUCACGAUGGCCGAAAUCAAAGUCAAGUGGGGUAAGGAGAACCUCACGAUGGAGGUGGACCUGGGAAGUACGGUGGGUGCCUUCAAGGAGGCCCUCAAAGCCAAGACCGGGGUGCCAGUGGAGAAGCAGAAGCUCAUGGGCCUAAAGCCCUCCAUGAACAAGGAUGACGCUACGCUCAGCGCCGCCGGCCUCGUGACAGGCAAGACAGUGAUGCUGAUUGGGUCAGCGGAGAGCACUGCAGCGGUGCCCACGGUGCAAGCGGCUGUGGUAGAAGCAAAUGAGACAGGUGGCUACACCGCGACUGCGACAACUUCAAAUGGCUUAAAGAAUAUUGCCAACACGUGCUACCUGAACUCGGCUCUGCAGAUGAUGCGGAGUAUUCCGGAGAUUCGGGAAGUGCUCGAGGCGUACCGCGGCGACAACGCACUUCUGCAGCAGCUCGCUGCCGUGCUACAGUUGCUGGAGAGCACCAAGGAUGCUGUGAUGCCGCUACAGUUCUGGACGACGCUCGUGCAGACAAAUCCAACGUUUGGUGAGCGCAACGAGCACGGCGGCUUCAUGCAGCAGGACUCGCAGGAGGUGCUGAACAUGCUGCUCCAGGCCGUAAACUCCGUGCUGCCCGAGAAGUACGCGCACCUCUUCGAAGGCAAGCUGCACCAGACCCUCACCUGCGUCGACGACCCGGCUGACAAGGGCAAGGAGUCCGACGUGCCCUUCACGAUGCUCUCCUGCAAUAUCACUGGAGAGGUGCAGACGCUCGAGGCGGGGCUCGAGCACGCCUUCGACGAGCGCUUCACCGCACCUUGCGAGGCCCUGCAGAAAGACGUCGCCCAGUUCACUCGCGUUAGCAAACUGACCGAAGCACCGGAAUAUGUCUUUGUGCACAUGGUGCGCUUCUCCUGGCGCGGCGACAUUCAAAAGAAGGCGAAGAUCCUCAAGCCUAUCACGUUCCCCUUCAUUCUCGACACCACCAUCAUCUCCACCGAAGCGCUCAAGGCGGCACAGAAGCCGGUGCGCGAGGGUAUCCGCGAGCGGCGCGACAAGGAGCUGGAGCGGCGCCGCCGCCCCCGCACAGAGGAGAAGCCGUCGCCAGUGGACAAACCGCAGGAGGAGGAGAAGGUGCCCCUGGCCCUCAAGAAUGAGAGCGGCUACUAUGACCUGUGCGGCGUCAUCUCGCACAAGGGCCGCAGCGCGGACGGCGGCCACUACGUCUACUGGGGUAAGAAAGCAGACAAGUGGCUCGUCUACGACGACGAGCACGUGGCGGCCGUCUCGGAGGAGGACGUGAAGCGGCUGCGUGGUGUCGGAGAAGCUCACAUCGCCUACGUCCUGCUGUAUCGCAGUCGCGACCCCGUCACACGAACUCCGGUUAUUCCACUUUAGAGUCUUUCGAGGUGCUCGCGGGAAGCAUUUCCCUCCUUGCGCUUUCACUCGCUCCAAGGGGGAACGAAGAACGCGGUGCAGAGGCGGGAGCGUGUGUGUGCGGGUGCGCUCACACUCCAUGCGCGCUUGGCGCGGGACGUAGCAAACGCACGGGGCUUGCUCUCUUCAUGAUGUACGUGUGGUAUGUACUCGCCCUCACCGAGACCACAGUUGUGCCCACUGCCGACGUAUAAUUCUCACACGCCACUGCAUCUCUGCGCGCUCUCAUGAAACUCGCCGUGCCAAGGAGCGUUGCUCUCCCUCUUUCGCGGUCGUAUGCCACUUCCCUGCCUUCUCGACCGCCUCUACACGAACACGGUCACUCUAAAUCCACUGUCGAGAUGUUGCGACGGCGAGCAUUAUUCGUACCCUCCCACCUGCCCUUCCACACCCC
rnacentral:misc_RNA from 1 species